CCUACGGGGGGCUGCAGUGGGGAAUAUUGCACAAUGGGGAAAACCUGGAGCCGCCAAGGCCCGGUGGGGGUUGAGGGCUUUGGGGCGGAAAACCCCUUUCUUAGGGGAGGAAUUUGAACGGACCCUAGGGGGGAGGCCCGGCUAACUUCGUGGCAGCAGCCGCGGUAAAACGUAGGGGGCUAGGGUUAUCCGGAAUUACUGGGCGUAAAGGGUGCGUAGGCGGCCCUUCAAGUCAGAGGUGAAAGGCUACGGCUCAACCGUAGUAAGCCUUUGAAACUGUAGGGCUUGAGUGCAGGAGAGGAGAGUGGAAUUCCCAGUGUAGCGGUGAAAUGCGUAGAUAUUGGGAGGAACACCAGUUGCGAAGGCGGCUCUCUGGACUGUAACUGACGCUGAGGCACGAAAGCGUGGGGAGCGAACAGGAUUAGAUACCCGAGUAGUC
rnacentral:rRNA from 1 species